rnacentral:rRNA from 1 species
UUAAGCGUCCAUAGCGCGUUGUGUUCACCGGUUUUCGUCCGAUCACCGAAGUUAAGCAACGUUGGACGCGGUCAGUACUUGGAUGGCGGUGGCAGGUUCCUCCGGUCCUGAUC